UGUAUAUUGAUCUGCACCCUUUUACAAACACUUCACCUUAUACUGUUGUUGAGACGAUGUCAUUGGCGAAAGCUCUCAUACUUUUCCGAGAAGUCGGCUUGAGGCAUCUCCUGGUCAUUCCAAAAUACUCGAGGGCACCUGUAGUUGGUAUAUUAACUAGGCAUGAUUUUAUGCCCGAGCAUAUAUUGGGGCUGCAUCCGUACAUGAUACAGAGCAGAUGGAAAAGAUUGCGUUUGAGGAGGUCUA
rnacentral:misc_RNA from 1 species